rnacentral:rRNA from 1 species
UACGUAGGGUGCAAGCGUUAAUCGGAAUACUGGGCGUAAAGCGUGCGCAGGCGGUGAUGUAAGACAGUUGUGAAAUCCCCGGGCUCAACCUGGGAACUGCAUCUGUGACUGCAUUGCUGGAGUGCGGCAGAGGGGGAUGGAAUUCCGCGUGUAGCAGUGAAAUGCGUAGAUAUGCGGAGGAACACCGAUGGCGAAGGCAAUCCCCUGGGCCUGCACUGACGCUCAUGCACGAAGCGUGGGGAGCAACAG